AGAUUUAUGCAACAUGGACAUGAAUUUUGGCUCAAUUCCUACUCUGUCCUUGGCUCUAAUAGGAUCUGUUUUGCUUCUGCUGGAACGGAUGUAAGAGAAGAAUCAGUUCCAUUUUUUGACGAAACUAUUGUGAUAAAAAGAAUAUUUCAAAAUACGUUAAAAAUAGAUAAAUAUAUUCACAGCUUAUUAGUUUUAAUCUAGA